rnacentral:rRNA from 1 species
AUACGUAUGUCGCAAGCGUUAUCCGGAAUUAUUGGGCGUAAAGCGAGUCUAGGCGGCUUGUUAAGUCAGAUGUGAAAAUGCGGGGCUCAACUCCGUAUUGCGUUUGAAACUGGCAGGCUAGAGUACUGAAGAGGUGGGCGGAACUACAAGUGUAGAGGUGAAAUUCGUAGAUAUUUGUAGGAAUGCCGAUAGUGAAGACAGCUCACUGGACAGAUACUGACGCUAAAGCUCGAAAGCGUGGGGAGCGAACAGAAUUAGAAACCCUUGUAGUCC